rnacentral:lncRNA from 1 species
CCUAAGUCUCUGCAUCUUUAAGCCUCAGAAGACUCUCUGUCUGGAACGACAGUGAGCUCAACAUGAAGUAGAAAUAAACUCUCUAGGGUCUUUGAUUCUCGAUCAAGUGCAGAUGCAUAAGGCCCUCCUGGACAUCAACUGAGGCAGUCAGUGUUAAAGAUUUGAAUGACUCUGCUGACUGAGUAACCAAUCACUGUGCAAAUCAAGGCGCAUCUGACUCUUUGCCUGCUGGUAGGUGACUAAUUUCUGUAUAAAAAAAGAGUAUGUG